AACAUAUUCUUGAAGCUGAUUUCAAUUUCAUAUUACUUUCAAAGAGCUUAUUUUUAAUCUUUAAAAAUAUAGGCGCGAAGGAGAAAGCACAAAAAAUGUUUGAGCCUGGAGGCACCGACACCAUCCUGGAAGAUGAGGAAGCCGCAUCUGUCUAUUUGUGUUUCAGAAUGGUUAACACACUGAGACUCCAGAGGAACGUGUGGGUCUUUGUACCCAGUAGACGGUCAGCCAACACAGAGAAAUUAUUCAAGCCAGGAAACAUUUAAAAGGAUUCCACAAGGAGAGAAAGAAAGAAAGAAAGAGAAACAAGAAGAGACUUCAGACUGUGAAAGGCUUGGCUGCUGUUUCUCAUCGAAAGGCUGUCUAAGCGUGGGUCGGUUUCAUUUUCCGAUAUAAUUCCCACCUGGCAGGGGACCUAUUCUGAAAGAUUCAUCCCUCUAUCCUCAGGUCAUCAGGCCAGCUCCCAAACUAGAGCCCAAGCCCGAAGGCUUCCGACUUGCAAAGCUGACACUAUGCCUGUCAGAGACCCCAGCGCCAGCCAGCCACGCCUUCCUUGACGAGCUAGUUGCCGAGCCACACAACUACUCCUGUGAGUUGAGAGACACUAAUAUCGAUGGCCUGACUUUUCCUAUAGCAGUGGUUCUCA